rnacentral:rRNA from 1 species
GAUGAACGCUGGCGGCGUGCUUAACACAUGCAAGUCGAACGGAAAGGCCCAAGCUUGCUUGGGUACUCGAGUGGCGAACGGGUGAGUAACACGUGGGUGAUCUGCCCUGCACUUCGGGAUAAGCCUGGGAAACUGGGUCUAAUACCGGAUAGGACCACUUCUUGGAUGUUGUGGUGGAAAGCUUUUUCGGUGUGGGAUGAGCUCGCGGCCUAUCAGCUUGUUGGUGGGGUAAUGGGCUACCAAGGCGUCGGCGGGUAGCCGGCCUGAGAGGGUGUACGGCGACAUUGGGACUGAGGUACGGCCCAGACUCCUACGGGAGGAAGCAGGGGGGAAUAUUGCACAAUGGGCGCCAGCCUGAUGAAGAGACGCCGCGUGGGGGAUGACGGCCUUCGGGUUGUAAACGCCUUUCGCUAGGGACGAAGCGUUUUGUGACGGUACCUGGAGAAGAAGCACCGGCUAACUACGUG